rnacentral:snRNA from 1 species
GUGCUCAUUUCGGCAACACAAAUACUAAAAUUGGAAUGAUACAGAAAAGAUUAGCAUGGCCCCUGCUCAAGGAUGACAUGCAAAUUCGUGACAUGUUCCACAUUUUU